rnacentral:rRNA from 1 species
CGGGUGAGUAACGCGUGGGGAACCUGCCCUGUACAGGGGGAUAACACUUAGAAAUAGGUGCUAAUACCGCAUAAGCGCACAGUAUCGCAUGAUACAGUGUGAAACACUCCGGUGGUACAGGAUGGACCCGCGUCUGAUUAGCUGGUUGGCGGGGUAACGGCCCACCAAGGCGACGAUCAGUAGCCGGCCUGAGAGGGUGAACAGCCACACUGGUACUGAGACACGGACCAGACUCCUACGGAAGGCAGCAG